UACAGGGGGUGCAAACGUUGCUCGGAAUCAUUGGGCGUAAAGCGCACGUAGGCGGUCUGUUAUGUCGGAUGUGAAAGCCCUCGGCUCAACUGAGGAAGUGCAUCCGAAACUGGCAGGCUAGAGUACUAAAGAGGGUCGCGGAAUUCCCGGUGUAGAGGUGAAAUUCGUAGAUAUCGGGAGGAACACCGGUGGCGAAGGCGGCGACCUGAGUAGAUACUGACGCUGAGGUGCGAAAGCGUGGGGAGCAAACAGG
rnacentral:rRNA from 1 species